UAAUUUAUAACUUUGAUAAAUUUACAUAGUUUUUCUAAUAUUACAAUAUUACAUGAAUUAAACAGUUGAUCAAAUUUAUAGAUAUUAGGGUUUGACCAGCAGUAUGUAGGUAAAAAAUUCUUUCUUUCAAACUUAAAAGAUCCACAAUUCAUAAUAUAAUGGUACUCGUCACCAAUGUCGUUUGAGUCACAUAGACGGUAGAUUC
rnacentral:lncRNA from 1 species